rnacentral:ncRNA from 1 species
UCGCCCACAAUGCCCUCAACGGUUUCAACACGGAUGUGGCUGGGUGCGUGGUGUGAGCGGAUACGAUGCACUUGCCGGUCGGCGCAUGCCGAAGCCCUGUGAAGGGGCAUCCCUGCUGGGGCCGUAAUUCGACGCAGGGUCGUCGUGAUAGUCGGUCCCAUCUUUGGUCUCCUCGCGCUAACCCCGUAGCGUGUGGUUUUUAGCGGGCUCCAGGCCCGCUUUUUUUU